rnacentral:rRNA from 1 species
CAGCCGCCACGGGAAUACGUAGGGCGCAAGCGUUGUCCGGAAUUAUUGGGCGUAAAGAGCUCGUAGGCGGUCUGUCGCGUCUGGUGUGAAAUCCCGAGGCUCAACCUCGGGCUUGCAUCGGGUACGGGCAGACUAGAGUGCGGUAGGGGAGACUGGAAUUCCUGGUGUAGCGGUGGAAUGCGCAGAUAUCAGGAGGAACACCGAUGGCGAAGGCAGGUCUCUGGGCCGCAACUGACGCUGAGGAGCGAAAGCAUGGGGAGCGAACAGGAUUAGAUACCCGAGUAGUCCCUGUCUCUUAUAA